GCGAAACAAGGCAGUAUAUGAUUUUUGUAGUAUUUAUAAUUGGAUUCAUUGUUCUAUUGCAGCUGCUAUUGAGCAUCCUGAAAUGUUUGGAAGUUGAAAGAGAAGAAGUGAGGCUGCUGGGAUAUGUGCUGCUGAACAUACAUUCCCUGAUGACUGGCUGAAACCAAUUGUACUGAUUUGUGAACUUUAGUAAUUUGUGUCCAGUUUCAUUGUGGUAAAGCAGGCUGAAUGAAGCUAAUCGUUGAUUGGAUGUCAUGGACAUGUCUGCCAACAGAAAAAAUUCCAGGUUGGGCUAAAGUCAUCACAGUACACAUCUCCCCUGAAUCCAAAAUUGUCAGGAGUGCAGAGUGUAAACUCGCUGGAAGAAUCCUGGGCCGAGCCAGAUUUCUGCUGAUAGGAGCACCGGCCCGGGGUGUCAGGACCACUGACACAAAGCUAUUUGGCGUAUGCGCAGUUGGAGCCAGUCCGGUGUUCACGCCAACUGCGCCAGAAAGCAGUAAAUUGCCAAAGGGAAGAAAGAGGAUCUGAAGGAAACCGAAGAUGUGGAAGAGUACAAGAAGAGAGUACAAGAUGCAGAAGAGAGUACAAGAUGUGGACGAGAGUACAAAAAGAGAGUAUAAGAUGUGGAAGAGAGUACAAGACCAAUAACCAGAGUUGGGGCUGAGAGAGGGAAGCAACAGCUUCUUAAAUCGACAAUAAGUACAAAAGCAAAUUUGUUUACUUCAUGAGAAGCAAUAUUAUGAAUUAAACUACAAAAUUGUCGCUAAAACAAAAGAAUACUUUACACUAUUGCGCGGUUUAUGGUUGCUUAACAGUGUAGUAAGAACAAAACAAGCCUUUUGUAAGAUUAUGACUAUAUGACACUGACUGCAAUAAAGUGCCAUGAGUUGCCUAAUGGCCCUACCCCAGCAAGCUUUGAAA